UCUCCUGUAACAUGGACAAAACCAACCUGAAAAAUCAUCAAAAUCUCAAAUAGACAUUUAAACCAAAAGUUUUGGAAACCACCACUUCCUCUAAUGCCACCACAACUACUACAAAAUAUAACAAAAUUCAACUGAGCGUUUCUACAACAUCAUCCUGUCAACAUGCAAGCAUUACAUCACUUACAAACCCUUCUACGAAUAU
rnacentral:lncRNA from 1 species